rnacentral:rRNA from 1 species
UACAGAGGUCCCGAGCGCUGUUCGGAUUUAUUGGGCGUAAAGGGUGCGUAGGCGGCGGAGUAAGUUGGGUGUGAAAUCCCGGGGCUCAACCUCGGAAUGGCAUUCAAUACUGCUUCGCUAGAGUACUGGAGAGGAGGCUGGAAUUUACGGUGUAGCAGUGAAAUGCGUAGAUAUCGUAAGGAAGGCCGGUGGCGAAAGCGAGCCUCUGGACAGUUACUGACGCUGAUGCACGAAGGCCAGGGGAGCAAACGGG